rnacentral:RNase_P_RNA from 1 species
AGCAGGGCGGAUGAUCGCGGCUGCAGGGUCCGAAAGGACGCAGACGAGGAAAGUCCGGGCUUCACAGGGCAGGAUGCCGGAUAACGUCCGGUGGAGGUGACUCCCAGGCCAGUGCAACAGAAAUAUACCGCCGGCUUUUUGCCGGUAAGGGUGGAAAGGCAGUGUAAGAGACUACCGUCAUCGUGGUAACACGGUGAGCCAUGUAAACCCCAUCCGAAGCAAGACCGAAUAGAAAGCCAUGAGCCGGCCCGGCUCGCUUUCAGGUGGGUCGCUUGAGGCUGCCGGCGACGGCAGUCCUAGAUAGAUGAUCAUCCAAGACAUAACCCGGCUUACAGCUCUGCUCA